rnacentral:rRNA from 1 species
GACAGAGGGGGCAAGCGUUGCUCGGAAUUACUGGGCGUAAAGGGCGCGUAGGCGGCUUGGCAAGUGGAAGGUGAAAUCCCUCGGCUUAACCGAGGAACUGCCCUCCAAACUGCUUCGCUUGAGACCGGGAGAGGUGAGUGGAAUUCCCAGUGUAGCGGUGAAAUGCGUAGAUAUUGGGAGGAACACCAGUGGCGAAGGCGGCUCACUGGACCGGUACUGACGCUGAUGCGCGAAAGCGUGGGGAGCAAACGGG